CCUACGGGUGGCAGCAGUGGGGAAUAUUGGACAAUGGGCGAAAGCCUGAUCCAGCCAUGCCGCGUGUGUGAAGAAGGCCUUCGGGUUGUAAAGCACUUUCAGUGGGGAAGAAAGCCUUGGGGCUAAUACCCUCGAGGAAGGACAUCACCCACAGAAGAAGCACCGGCUAACUCCGUGCCAGCAGCCGCGGUAAUACGGAGGGUGCGAGCGUUAAUCGGAAUUACUGGGCGUAAAGCGCGCGUAGGCGGUCUGAUAAGCCGGUUGUGAAAGCCCCGGGCUCAACCUGGGAACGGCAUCCGGAACUGUCAGGCUAGAGUGCAGGCGAGGAAGGUAGAAUUCCCGGUGUAGCGGUGAAAUGCGUAGAGAUCGGGAGGAAUACCAGUGGCGAAGGCGGCCUUCUGGACUGACACUGACGCUGAGGUGCGAAAGCGUGGGUAGCAAACAGGAUUAGAUACCCUAGUAGUC
rnacentral:rRNA from 1 species